rnacentral:rRNA from 1 species
AACGCUAGCUACAGGCUUAACACAUGCAAGUCGAGGGGCAGCAUUUUAGUUUGCUUGCAAACUGAAGAUGGCGACCGGCGCACGGGUGAGUAACACGUAUCCAACCUGCCGAUAACUCCGGGAUAGCCUUUCGAAAGAAAGAUUAAUACCGGAUGGCAUACGAAUAUCGCAUGAUAUUUUUAUUAAAGAAUUUCGGUUAUCGAUGGGGAUGCGUUCCAUUAGUUUGUUGGCGGGGUAACGGCCCACCAAGACUACGAUGGAUAGGGGUUCUGAGAGGAAGGUCCCCCACAUUGGAACUGAGACACGGUCCAAACUCCUACGGGAGGCAGCAGUGAGGAAUAUUGGUCAAUGGGCGAGAGCCUGAACCAGCCAAGUAGCGUGAAGGAUGAAGGCUCUAUGGGUCGUAAACUUCUUUUAUAUGGGAAUAAAGUUUUCCACGUGUGGAAUUUUGUAUGUACCAUAUGAAUAAGGAUCGGCUAACUCCGUGCCAGCAGCCGCGGUAAUACGGAGGAUCCGAGCGUUAUCCGGAUUUAUUGGGUUUAAAGGGAGCGUAGGUGGAUUGUUAAGUCAGUUGUGAAAGUUUGCGGCUCAACCGUAAAAUUGCAGUUGAAACUGGGAGUCUUGAGUACAGUAGAGGUGGGCGGAAUUCGUGGUGUAGCGGUGAAAUGCUUAGAUAUCACGAAGAACUCCGAUUG